GCUUCGGUAAUUGACCUAGCGGCGGACGGGUGAGUAAUACUUAGGAAUCUGCCUAUUAAUGGGGGACAACAUCUCGAAAGGGAUGCUAAUACCGCAUACGCCCUACGGGGGAAAGCAGGGGAUCACUUGUGACCUUGCGUUAAUAGAUGAGCCUAAGUCGGAUUAGCUAGUUGGUGGGGUAAAGGCCUACCAAGGCGACGAUCUGUAGCGGGUCUGAGAGGAUGAUCCGCCACACUGGGACUGAGACACGGCCCAGACUCCUACGGGAGGCAGCAGUGGGGAAUAUUGGACAAUGGGGGGAACCCUGAUCCAGCCAUGCCGCGUGUGUGAAGAAGGCCUUAUGGUUGUAAAGCACUUUAAGCGAGGAGGAGGCUCUUUUGGUUAAUACCCAAGAUGAGUGGACGUUACUCGCAGAAUAAGCACCGGCUAACUCUGUGCCAGCAGCCGCGGUAAUACAGAGGGUGCGAGCGUUAAUCGGAUUUACUGGGCGUAAAGCGUGCGUAGGCGGCUUUUUAAGUCGGAUGUGAAAUCCCCGAGCUUAACUUGGGAAUUGCAUUCGAUACUGGGAAGCUAGAGUAUGGGAGAGGAUGGUAGAAUUCCAGGUGUAGCGGUGAAAUGCGUAGAGAUCUGGAGGAAUACCGAUGGCGAAGGCAGCCAUCUGGCCUAAUACUGACGCUGAGGUACGAAAGCAUGGGGAGCAAACAGGAUUAGAUACCCUGGUAGUCCAUGCCGUAAACGAUGUCUACUAGCCGUUGGGGUCUUUGAGACUUUAGUGGCGCAGCUAACGCGAUAAGUAGACCGCCUGGGGAGUACGGUCGCAAGACUAAAACUCAAAUGAAUUGACGGG
rnacentral:rRNA from 1 species